UACGUAGGCGGUUUCAUAAGUCAGAUGUAAAAGCGUGGGGCUCAACCCCAUAAAGCAUUUGAAACUGUGGAACUUGAGUAGUGGAGAGGAAAGUGGAAUUCCUAGUGUAGCGGUGAAAUGCGUAGAUAUUAGGAGGAAUACCAGUGGCGAAGGCGACUUUCUGGACACAAACUGACGCUGAGGUACGAAAGCAUGGGGAGCAAACAG
rnacentral:rRNA from 1 species